rnacentral:rRNA from 1 species
AUUGAACGCUGGCGGCAGGCCUAACACAUGCAAGUCGAGCGGAUGAAGGGAGCUUGCUCCUGGAUUCAGCGGCGGACGGGUGAGUAAUGCCUAGGAAUCUGCCUGGUAGUGGGGGAUAAGUUCGGGAACCGGGGGCAAAUACGCCAAAGGCCCGGAGGGGGAAGGGGGGGGAUCUUGGGACUUAAGGCUAUCAAUGGACCCUAGGUCGGAUUAGCUAGUUGGUGGGGUAAAGGCCUACCAAGGCGACGAUCCGUAACUGGUCUGAGAGGAUGAUCAGUCACACUGGAACUGAGACACGGUCCAGACUCCUACGGGAGGCAGCAGUGGGGAAUAUUGGACAAUGGGCGAAAGCCUGAUCCAGCCAUGCCGCGUGUGUGAAGAAGGUCUUCGGAUUGUAAAGCACUUUAAGUUGGGAGGAAGGGCAGUAAGUUAAUACCUUGCUGUUUUGACGUUACCAACAGAAUAAGCACCGGCUAACUUCGUG